GUAAGGAAGAUCCAAACAGGCAAAGGAAUUGGCCACAGUAAUUCGGGUCAGAACCAUAGAAAAGUGGUCAGAGGAGCUUGCAAAGAUGAAAUGAAUGACUUUCCCUGCCUUUAUGCAAAUGUUGAUGCUGAAUUUCCACUUGAUGUUGUGGAUUUUCGCAAUGUUCCCGAGAUUCGUCAAGUAUUUGUUGUUUUUGUGGUUGACCUGGAAUGAAUCAAUCAUCCUGAGCUCCUUCGUCCCGAUGGCCCUGGGAGAAACAGAGAGGGCGAUUUCUGCCACGGACCAGAGUGGGAUCUUCACCACAAAGGAAACAUCACAAAUCUCCCAGUUUUACCGGCCAAAAUCUGCCACAAUAAGCCCCCCUGGAAACAUCAGCCAGCUGUUGGGUUCCAGUCUGACUCUCAUCUGUCGUGCUGAGGAUUCGGAUCCUAAUAUACAGUAUAGAUGGUAUUUCAACAACACCGAUGCAAACGUGACAAGCAGCAAUCUGACCAUUGAAUCAAUCUCCUGGAAAAACGAGGGGACCUAUGUCUGCUGCAUAUCCUACCCUCAAACAAAUGUCACAGCCUAUGCGACUGUAUCUCUGAGGAUAAAAACAGACAAUGAAACUUCUUCAGCUCAACCACAGCAUCCUCUGACGGUGUUUGUUGGCAUCGUGUUUGGGUUGGCGGCUGGGGUGACUUUGGUUGGCACCUUGCUAUGCUGUUUCUGUGUCCACAUUCGGAGGAAGAACCCGCCGCCGCCACCACCACCACCAAUUUCGACAAUCCCAUCCUUACCUAAGGACUUCUCUCGAUCCAUAAUGCUUGGUAGCAGAGCCAGAGAAACCAAGCCUGAGAACCCUGCUGAGCCCAGCACCAUCUACCAGGAGGUGCUGUGUGAUGACGGGGCUGUGUAUCAAGAACUGGAAGGGUGAUUUCUGAGUGCAGCAUCUCCUGUGUAGCAAUAAGGACUUACGAUAGCUUCUCCCAGCUGAACGUUUCUGCCUAGGUGCCUGUCAGCUGCAAACUCCCAGCCAGACCCUCCUUGAUAUACCUGCCUUAAAAACCCAGACUCUUCUCUAAAUAUAGUGCUUUAAAUACAUGGCAUGAAUGUGGCCUUAAUGUGCAUCCCUGCAGAUCAUUCUGAGGUAGAACUCUGAAUGGUUUAAUCUUCAAUGUGUUGCUGUUUUUACUUUAAAAGAAAAACGCAUUAGACUCUUUGUGCUUGUUUGCUUAAAUAUCAAAACGGUUGGAGAAAAUGCAUUAAAUAAUUUCACUGUUUUCUUACUGUCUUACGUCUCUUUUUGACGGCAACCUGAAAUGAUCCAAACAUUGGGUAAAAGGUAAAGGUAAAGGUACCCCUGCCCGUACGGGCCAGUCUUGCCAGACUCUAGGGUUGUGCGCCCAUCUCACUCUAUAGGCCGGGGGCCAGCGCUGUCCGCAGACACUUCCGGGUCACGUGGCCAGCGUGACAAGCUGCAUCUGGCGAGCCAGCGCAGCACACGGAAACGCUGUUUACCUUCCCACUGGUAAGCGGUCCCUAUUUAUCUACUUGCACCCGAAGGUGCUUUCGAACUGCUAGGUUGGCAGGCGCUGGGACCGAACGACAGCAGCGCACCCUGCCGCAGGGAUUCGAACCGCUGACCUUUCGAUCGGCAAGUCCUAGGCACUGAGGCUUUAACCCACAGCGCCACCCGCGUCCCCAAACAUUGGGUAGUUGGGUUAAAUUAUUGAGGAUCGUUUGCCAUAAACUUGAAUUGAUCUGUGAACUGAGUGUGAACCGAACUAGGCUGUUUUAUACAGGAUUGAGCAUGAACUGAAGUUAUAGUUCCUUUCUGGAUGUGUCAAGUUGGAGCUAAUUCCUUUUUUAAAUGAUCUUUCUGAGAUCUGGACCCCACCUAGGUCCCCUGGAGCCCCUGGCUUGGCAGCUGCUGUUCCUCUUUAAGCAAGUAAAGAAUGUAUUGGAUUUGUAUCCCAACGCCCCUCCAAGGAGCUCAAGAUGGCAGCAUACAUGGUCCCCCCCCAUUUUACCCUCACAACGACCCUGUGAGGUAGGUUAGGCAGAGGUCUCAUCCAGGCUUCCCACCGCUUCCCCCUCUUUUGUGCUGAAUCUGAGCAAAUGUCAAUCAGCUUUCCCAGGGACUGACAUUUGUUCCGAUUCAGAGCUAAAGAGUGGGUUUUCCUGGGGCAAGUUGUGGGGCAAACAGGAGGAGGAGGAGGAGGAGGAGGAGGAGGAGGAGAAGAAGAAGAAGAAGAAGAAGAAGAAGAAGAAGAAGAAGAAGAAGAAGAAGAAGAAGAAGAGUAGUUUGGAUUCGAUAUCCCACUUUAUCACUACCCUAAGGAGUCCCCUUCCUUCCCCACAACAAACAUUCUGCUAGGUGAGUGAGGCUGAGAGAGAAGUGUGACUGGCCCAAGGUCACCCAGCAGCUGCAUGUGGAGGAGCAGGGAAUCGAACCCAGUUCACCAGAUUACCACUCUUAACCACUACACCAGAGGACCACUUGGACCCAUGCUUCCUAGGCACAUGACAAGCAGAAGCAUGGAUGAGCCCCAAGAACCAGGCAGAGGGCCUUCUUGGUGGUGGUGCCCGCCCUGUGGAACGCCCUCCCAUCAGAUGUCAAAGAAAUAAACAACUAUAUGACAUUUAGAAGACACCUGAAGGCAGCCCUGUUUAGGGAAGUUUUUAAUGACUGAUGUUUUAAUGUAUUUUUAAUUUUUGGUUGGAAGCCGCCCAGAGUGGCUGGGGAAACCCAGCCAGAUGGGUGGGGUAGAAAUAAUAAAUUAUGAUGACGACGAUGAUGAUAAAAAUAAAUAUUUAUUUAUACCCCACCUGCCCCAGCCGGAGCCAGGCUCAGGGCGGCCAACACCAAUAAAAUUACAGUAAAAAUAUAAUGGGGUGGGGGGACCAAUUUAAAAUACAAGUUAAAAUGCAAAUUAAAUGCAGCCUCAUUUUAAAAGUAGCCCAUAGAUCAAAACCAUAAGGGGGGAGGGAGGAACAUAAGGGUCAGACUGAGUCCAAACGAAAGGCCAGGUGAAAUAGUUCUGUCUUGCAGGCCCUGUAGAAAGAUGUCAAAUCCUGCAGGGCCCUGGUCUCUUGUGACAGAGCGUUCCACCAAUUCGGGGCCAGUACUGAAAAGGCCCUGGCCCUAGUUGAGACCAAUCUAACCACCUUGCGACUUGGGGCCUCCAAAAUGUUGUCAUUUGUGGACCUUAAGGUCCUCCACAGGGCAUACCGGGAGAGGCGGUCCCAUAGGUACGUGGGUCCUAGGCCGCAUAGGGCUUUAAAGGUCAAACCAGCACCUUAAACCUGACCCUGCACUCCACUAGGAGCCAGUGUAGUUGGUAAAGCACUGGAUGAAUGUGAUCCCGCGGCAAGGAUGAUUAGAGACAUUAACUGGUCCGAGGUCACCCAAUGAGCUUCAUGACUGAGUGGGAAGUUGAACCCUGGCCUCCCAAGCUCCUAGUCCAAUGUUCUAAC
ensembl:lncRNA